UGGUACACUCGGUCUACACGAGGCUCAGCUGUUUCAUCCUGGAGACCUGCAAGACCUGUCCACACGCGCUACACUCAGGUGUGCAGAGAGCAAAAGGAGGCUGAGAAACGUUCUAAUCACCAUCUACUGGCUG